AUUGAACGCUGGCGGCAGGCUUAACACAUGCAAGUCGAGCGGAGAUGAGGUGCUUGCACCUUAUCUUAGCGGCGGACGGGUGAGUAAUGCUUAGGAAUCUGCCUAUUAGUGGGGGACAACAUUCCGAAAGGGAUGCUAAUACCGCAUACGUCCUACGAGAGAAAGCAGGGGAUCUUCGGACCUUGCGCUAAUAGAUGAGCCUAAGUCGGAUUAGCUAGUUGGUGGGGUAAAGGACUACCAAGGCGACGAUCUGUAGCGGGUCUGAGAGGAUGAUCCGCCACACUGGGACUGAGACACGGCCCAGACUCCUACGGGAGGCAGCAGUGGGGAAUAUUGGACAAUGGGGGAAACCCUGAUCCAGCCAAGCCGCGUGUGUGAAGAAGGCCUUAUGGUUGUAAAGCACUUUAAGCGAGGAGGAGGCUACUGAGACUAAUACUCUUGGAUAGUGGACGUUACUCGCAGAAUAAGCACCGGCUAACUCUGUGCCAGCCGCCGCAGUAACAC
rnacentral:rRNA from 1 species